rnacentral:lncRNA from 1 species
UUGAAUUGGUGUUUCCUUUGCGUAUUUUGUUUCUAAGCAAAUCGAGUCCCAGGUAGAGUUUUGCCCUUGAGCAGCUUCAUGAGGUCAAGGAGGGGCGCUCACUCCACUCUGCACGGAAACACUGAGUGGAAUGAAAAUACAACCGGAGAGAAUGUCCUCCCCACCAGAAGGUCGCCUCGAGACAGGCCUCCACGCAUCGUUGCUGACCUCACACAGUGAUACCUCUGCAUGCCGGGGAGCAAUUCCAUCCAAGAAUGUCUGAGACGCGCUCUGCAAGAUGAGUUGGCAGCAUCUCUGUGCCUCUGGUUUUGCCAGGCUCCACCAACAUCCCGCUAAGAACUCUUCACCCUCAAGUGCACUGAGGGGAACCCCAGUGAAGGCCAAUGAGGGAAACCACACAUCACUGAGGGCCGACGGAGGCCCCCAAAGCUCAGAUCGCUGUGCUCGCCAGUAGGUCCCCAGACACCCUUAACACAGCUAUCUGCAGGAUUGAAUGAUUGCUGGGACCACACAAUUUACACUUGGCUCUCGUGGUCCGGAGGGGAGGACUGCGCCAGCAUGAGAAGACCAGAGAGCAAGUAAAUGGAAAUUUGGCGAGAUCCUGUGGCUGCUGUUGGUGGCUGCAGCCAGACAGGAAAACUGAGAUGGUGUGAGCAGAAAGGGCUGGAAGGAGUUGGCUUUUUCCAAGAAAUUACAGCGGAAUCUUCUUCCAAGAGGCUGGGGGCCUCUGCAGACAUGAUCUCAUUACUUACCCCCCAAAUCCCCCAGCUUCCCUACGGACCAAGGACCAGGGGUCUCUGCCCAGUCCUAGCUCCAAGGAAACUCACACUUGGCAGAUUUUCCUAAUCGGAGCUGGCCUUGAAGUUUGCUCACUGAUAAUCACCAGAAAGUCACCCCAACAAUGGGUGAUGCCAGAGUGUCCUCAAGCUUCAAGGGUCCGUAAAAACACUUGACUCCCCCAGGACAAAAAUGACUGGGGGAAACAUGCAGUUCUUCAAAGAGAACGGUUUCAUUCUGUACCAAA